CGGCAGAGCGACGCGGAGCCCCGCCGGCGCGGACCCCGACGACCCCGCCGCGCCGCCCCGGGCCGCCCUCGAGGGCCGGGAUCGGCGCCCGGAGGCCGCGCCUGCAGGCCCUGCCUCUGCUGGGAUCUUCGCAGGCCCCUCUGACCUGAAAGCACGCCCACGGACAUCAUGUGGGGGUCUCUGUUGCCCUGGUCUUGGCUGUUGCUGCUACUGCUGCUGCUGCUGGGGUGCGGGCCAAGGGCAUCCGCUGGUGGCGGGGGAGCAGGCUAUGCCCCAGUGAAGUACAUGCAACCCAUGCAAAAGGGACCUGUGGGACCGCCCUUCAGAGAGGGCAAGGGCCAGUACCUGGAAAUGCCUCUACCGUUGCUGCCAAUGGACCUGAAAGGAGAGCCCGGCCCCCCAGGGAAGCCUGGGCCUCGGGGCCCGCCUGGCCCUCCUGGCUUCCCAGGAAAACCGGGUACUGGAAAGCCUGGGCUCCAUGGGCUGCCUGGCCCUGCUGGCCCCCCUGGCUUCUCCCGGAUGGGCAAGUCUGGUCCCCCAGGGCUCCCAGGCAAGGUUGGACCACCAGGGCAGCCUGGGCCUCGGGGAGAGCCAGGAAUACGAGGGGACCAGGGCCUCCAUGGGCCUCCAGGGCCCCCUGGCUUACCUGGCCCCUCAGGCAUUACUGUUCCUGGAAAACCAGGUGCCCCAGGGGUGCCAGGGCCCCCAGGGUUCCCAGGGGAGCCAGGGCUCCAGGGGGAGCCUGGGCCCCCAGGCGAUCGAGGCCUCAAGGGGGAUAAUGGAGUGGGCCAGCCAGGGCUGCCUGGGCCACCAGGGCAGGGGGGUGCCCCUGGACCUCCUGGCCUCCCUGGCCCAGUUGGCUUAGGCAAACCUGGUUUGGAUGGGCUUCCUGGGGCCCCCGGAGACAAAGGUGAGCCUGGGCCUCCUGGGGUUCUGGGCCCCAGAGGGGAGCCAGGAGCUGUGGGCCCUAAAGGACCCGCUGGAGUAGAUGGUGUGGGGAUGCCGGGGGCAGCAGGGGUGCCAGGACCACAGGGCCCAGCAGGGGCAAAAGGGGAGCCAGGAGCCCGGGGUCCCCCUGGGCUGAUAGGUCCCACUGGCUAUGGGAUGCCAGGAUUGCCAGGCCCCAAAGGGGACAGGGGCCCAGCUGGGGUCCCAGGGCUUUUGGGGGAUAGGGGUGAGCCAGGUGAGGAUGGGGAGCCAGGGGAGCAGGGCCCACAGGGCCUUGGUGGGCCCCCUGGACUUCCUGGCUCUGCAGGGCUCCCUGGCAGACGUGGGCUGCCUGGACCUAAGGGGGAGGCAGGGGCUGAAGGACCCCCAGGAAUACCUGGACUUCGGGGUGACCAGGGGCCUAGUGGCCUGGCUGGGAAACCUGGGCUCCCAGGUGAGAGGGGACUUCCUGGAGCCCAUGGACCCCCUGGACCAACUGGGCCCAAAGGUGAGCCAGGUUCCACAGGCCGCCCUGGAGGACCAGGGGUGGCAGGGGCCCUGGGGCAGAAGGGUGACUUGGGGCUCCCUGGGCAGCCUGGCCUGAGGGGCCCCUCAGGAAUCCCAGGACUCCAGGGCCCAGCUGGUCCUAUUGGACCCCAGGGUCUGCCAGGCUUAAAGGGUGAACCUGGCCUGCCAGGGCCCCCUGGGGAGGGGAAAGUGGGGGAACCCGGCACAGUUGGACCCACGGGGCCCCCUGGGGUCCCCGGCUCCCCAGGACUCACAGGCCCUCCUGGGCCUCCAGGGCCUCCUGGACCCCCUGGCGCCCCUGGGACCCUCGAUGAGACUGGCAUCGCAGGCUUACACCUGCCCAAUGGAGGUGUGGAGGGUGCCGUGUUGGGCAAGGGUGGCAAGCCUCAGUUUGGGUUGGGCGAGCUGUCAGCCCACGCCAUGCCAGCCUUCACCGCAGUGCUCACCUCGCCCUUCCCUGCAUCAGGCAUGCCUGUUAAAUUUGACCGGACUCUCUACAACGGCCACAGUGGCUACAACCCAGCCACUGGCAUCUUCACCUGCCCUGUGGGCGGCGUCUACUACUUCGCUUACCAUGUGCAUGUCAAGGGCACCAACGUGUGGGUGGCCCUGUACAAGAACAAUGUGCCAGCUACCUACACCUACGAUGAGUACAAGAAGGGCUACCUGGACCAGGCAUCUGGCGGGGCUGUGCUCCAGCUGCGGCCCAACGACCAGGUCUGGGUACAGAUGCCCUCGGACCAGGCCAAUGGCCUCUACUCCACUGAGUACAUCCACUCUUCCUUUUCAGGAUUCUUGCUCUGCCCCACAUAACCCAUGGGGGCCCCUGCUGCCCUGGCCUCCUCCUCUUUAGUGGUAGAGUGACCUUUUCAGUUACCAAGAAUCUCCAUUUAAAGAAAAAAAAAAUCAGGAUGAACAAAGGCAGCCACAGAGCGGCCACGGCCUUGGCCCCAGGAGACUGACUUGCUUUCUCUACGUGUAGGCUGAGAUUGUCACCAGAAGGGGCUGGCCUGAGUUCCUUUCCCCUAAAUGUCUAUGCAGUGUUGGGCUUGCACCCCAUCCCUGCCCUGCCUACAGGCAGGGCCCUAGGGCAUGUAGCCCACCUGUGUGAGUCCUGGACUCUGCUGGGCCUUGAAGGAGCUGAGAGGAGGCUGAGCUCUGCCACCCAUCCCCUGGGGGACAGCCCUUCCUGCUGGCCCCCAGAUGGCACUUGCUCAAGGAAUGGGGCAUGGCCUCCCUCACAGUCCUUAGCUGGGGCUCUCCCAGCUCCUCCAGGUCCCACAGCAUAAGACAGUGGGGUUCCCUGGAGUUUUUGUUUCCCUUCAGGGGAAAGGGAGAGGAGAGUGAGCAUCGAGGCGGCCAGUGUAGACACCCUGUGAGGACUGCAACCCCAGUGGCAAUGCUGUGGCAUCAGGCCUGCUGUGUAGCUGUCUGCAUGUUCCUGGAAGGGGUCACCUCCCUUGCACGGCUUCAGCUGCAGCCAUGGAAGGAAGCUUAGUUCUCUACAUAUUUAUCAUGUGCCCUGUGUCACAGAAGAUUCGGGAAAAAUGCACUGGGGAAUCAAACAAAAUGGGACUUCUUUUUGAAAAGAAAAACCACCGUAUUGACUGUAUUGACACAACUUCAAUAAAUUUGUUGUAUAAAA